rnacentral:rRNA from 1 species
UACAGAGGGUGCGAGCGUUGUCCGGAAUCACUGGGCGUAAAGGGCGCGUAGGUGGUGGCUUAAGCGUGCGGUGAAAGCUCGGGGCUCAACCCCGAGUCGGCCGUGCGAACUGGGCUCACUGGAGCAUAGUAGAGGCAGGUGGAAUUCCGGGUGUAGCGGUGGAAUGCGUAGAGAUGUGGAGGAACACCAGUGGCGAAGGCGACUCUUUGGCCUGUAACUGACGCUGAGGCGCGAAAGCGUGGGGAGCAAACAGG